rnacentral:lncRNA from 1 species
AUGGCUUUUCACAAGGUCUGCGUCUGGGUAAGGAGACUUAAUCCGAACAUCUGCAACCCAAAGAGCAAAGGUUUCCAGCAGCGGGUGCUCUGGAAGGUUGCCUUUAUCUUUCAGCUGAGAUGCGUGACUUCGGGCGGCUCUGGUGGGAUGGGGAGGAUCUGUCUCACCCUGUGGUCAAGUGCUCCUGAGUUUGUCCAACCUGGUGAGCGAGUUUGGCUUCUAAUGCUCCUGCAACAACCCCCUCCAAAAAAUGAAUUACUGGAAUCUGAAAACAAGUGAUGAUUAUGACCUUCAGAACACUAAUCUUGAUGUAGAAAUGAUGACACAGACCCAAAAUCCUGACACAUGAAGAGCAGAAUAUGCUGGGAAGCUAGAAAUUAAUAAAUUCCUUCUGCAAGAGUGGUGUGGAAUGGAGGUGAUGGACUACAGGAUUUCACUGGACUGCUGAGCCUGUGGAGCUUCUUCAGCAAAGCAGCCCUGUCUGAAGGGGAGGUCACUACCUAAAUGUCCCUCACACAAAUGGCUGUUGCAGCAGGGAGACCCUGCUUCCAUCCACCUCGAUCUAUUUAAAGAGUUAUAUGGCAUGUGAGACUUGGUUGUCCUCUACAUCUUGGUUUCAUAUUUCUGCCUUACAAGUAACUGGGUUUGAUAUAUAACAGACCUGUUUCUGAGAAAUCUGUGGGAUGGAUCUUUGCUGUCUAAAAUAAAGCACUUCUCAAGACCCUGACUUUCCCUCAUGUCUUCACUUUUCUUCUGUUUAAAUGUGAAGCAAUGGCCUUCAUGUCCCUUCACUGCUGUGCUGUUGUCUCUGAUAGCAUCGGUACAGGAGGAUUGUUGCUGUUACUCAAGAAUCAAAUAUGUUUGGGUUUUCCCUCCUUCCUACUUUUGUGGGAGCAAGGGAUGAGCUCAAACCUGCUCUCCAUCCCUCCAGGUCAGCGACCUGCGCUGGCACUGUCAAUAGCCUGAGUCAUCCCAGCCCUGACACUGGACAAAGCAUGAAGCCUUUACUCAGGGACGGGAGAGGAGUUGAGAGCUGCCAUCAGCCCCAAGUAUUUCCAAGGGGGGAGCGGCCAUGCACUUACCAGAAAGCCUACGAUUAUUUCUGUACACUUGACCCGCUAUUUGACAAGAUCGGGAAAACCCAGAGCGCGGCUGACACCGAGUGAGGGGGAGAGGAUGUGAGCAGAGAAGUUUAGGAAGAUAAGUGUGAAACGGGAAAAAAUAAAACACCACCAACAAAAUCA